AGGAGAGGUGAGAGGACAGUUCAGAAUGGACAUGUUGCUCAAGUAGCUUUGAGGCAAAUGGAAGUAGUGAUAUGGUACGAUAACUGGACAAAGCAGAUGGGUCAAGUAAAGGCUUUUUAAAGAUGGGUGUAAUGGUAGCAUGUUUAAAAGCAGAGGGGAAUACACCAGAGGUUAGUAAUAGGUUGAAGAGAUGAGUUAGGGCUGGGAUAAACACCGUGAGGUGGGAUGAGAGUGG